CGGGGUGGAGUAAUGCUUGGGAAUCUAGCUUAUGAGGGGGAGUAACUACGGGAAACUGUAGCUAAUACCGCGUAGAAUCGGGAGAUGAAAGUGUGGGACCUUCGGGCCACAUGCCAUAGGAUGAGCCCAAGUGGGAUUAGGUAGUUGGUGAGGUAAAGGCUCACCAAGCCGACGAUCUCUAGCUGGUCUGAGAGGAUGACCAGCCACACUGGGACUGAGACACGGCCCAG
rnacentral:rRNA from 1 species